rnacentral:misc_RNA from 1 species
GUGGGUUUCUCUUGGAGGUGUUGUGCUCUGCAUAACAGGAUCUGAAGCCAUGUUCGCUGACCUAGGCCACUUCAAUGUCAGAGCAAUUCAGGCUUCCCGUGAAAGGUUGAAGAAAGAUGAAGCUCGCAAGUAUUUUCAAGAGCUAAUCAAUGCUGUGGAUUAUUGUCACAGCAGAGCUGUCUUUCGUAGGGACCUAAAUGGGAGAAG